GGAGAGGUGGCCGAGAGGCUUAAGGCAACGGUUUGCUAAACCGUGUUCCCGCAAGGGGACUCACAGGUUCGAAUCCUGUCCUCUCCG
rfam:Candidatus Thrbacteria bacterium RIFCSPHIGHO2_12_FTLL_57_11 rifcsphigho2_12_scaffold_8515, whole genome shotgun sequence.